UACGGAGGAUCCAAGCGUUAUCCGGAAUCAUUGGGUUUAAAGGGUCCGUAGGCGGGAUGGCAAGUCGGUCGUGAAAUCCUUCGGCUCAACCGAAGAACGUCGGCCGAUACUGCCGUUCUUGAGGGAUGCAGAGGAGAUUGGAAUUCCCGGUGUAGCGGUGAAAUGUGUAGAGAUCGGGAGGAACACCGGUGGCGAAGGCGGGUCUCUGGGCAUCUCCUGACGCUGAGGCGCGAAAGCGUGGGGAGCAAACGGG
rnacentral:rRNA from 1 species